UUUUUGUACAAAAUUUUGUAUAGGACUGUAUUUACUAGUCCUGCCUCAUACACUGUACACAGGUCAUUGCUGUAUUAUUCUCAACAAACAGUGAUAAAUGCACUUUCUGUUCUCUUUAUUAUUGCUUAUAUUAUUAGAUAUGCAUAUUUUUAAUUGUUGUAUUUCAAUAGAUUGGUCAGUACAUAUCUUCUUUGGAAAACACCAGUUCUCAUACCUCAUCAGGCUGUUUAUUUGUUUUUAAGUCUAACAUUAUUUCCACUGGUUAACAGCUAUAGAGGUACUUAACACUCUUACAUUUCUAUACAUUUUCACCACUUCCAGUCCAAAAUUCUCACACAUUAAUCUGGUCAUCAGCUACAAGUAUUACAAUGCUCAACUGCACAGGAAGAUGUGUGCAAUAUGUGCAACAACAGCACUUACACCUUGUAGUCUGCUAUUGUCAGAUCUCAUAAGCUUUGCAAGGGUGACCUGGAUAGUACAGGGAUUGGUGACUUCAGAGGAAAAACAGGUCUCUGGUGUAAGAGGCAUUGGUGGAUCUGUAGGUACAGUAGCACUCUUCUCUUUGGAUGAGAUUACAAACCAAUGUCUUAGUAUGGUAACAAGGGACACUGUGCUGUGGGAGAAGCUGUCAUUCUGAUGAGACAUCAAAGAGCUUAUCUACCAGCUAUCAUUAAGGAUCCCACAAUAAUAUUAACAAGAGUAGCGGUGUUAACCCCAAUGCCCAGGCAAAAUUCCACUCUAUUCAGUUUGAUCUACUAAAAUUCCUUCUUAAUUCAGUUUGCAUUAAGGUUCAGCUGAACAGAAAUUUCUCACUUCUCUACCUGAUCACUUGAUUUCUGGGGAUUUAUCUGACAGAUUGUAUUUGACAGUUUGGUCAGGUCUCCUUCUCAAGUGAUAAUGUACAGUACUGUAGUUUUCUUAUCUUGUUUCUAUUUCAGUCGCAAUGGGAGUCCAGCUUUCUUACCCACUAGUUCAAGAACCUGAAAGUUAUGAGGAUCCUGAUUUUGAUGAGGAUUCUGCACAAACCGAUUUUGCACUUCAAAUACAUAAGAUCAACUUGGAGUUCUGUGCUGAGAUUGUUCAUCACAGGAUUCGCUCGGUAGCAGAACAAUCCAAAUUUGAAGAAUUCGAGCUCAACUGGCAAACAAAGGUUGUUGAACUCCAAAAGCAGUACCCAGAUUGGUCAAACGAGGACAUCUUGAAUCUUAAGUUGUUGUUUGAAAUGUUUGAUAGCAACUGUGACUGCGUGUUGGACUUCCAUGAAAUUGACAAAGCCCUGAAUGAAGUUCAUGAUGCAUCCAGUGAAGAAGAACGCAGAAUGCUAUUUGAAGAAUGUGCCAAGGAAGAAUAUGGCUCACUAAAUUUUGAGGAAUUUCUUCAGCUAAUGUAUACAUUGAGACAGCGGACAGGACCUAGCAGAAUGCCUGCUAACUUGAUUAGUAAUGAUGCAGGCACUGGGGAGAUGAUCAGCAUUGUGAGGAGAAUCGACACUUUUCAGCAGAUGUGCUAUGGUGUCUUUUAAGUCACAAAUGUCUGCAGAAACACAGUCUGUUUCAUAACUCACAAUGUAAAUGCGUUGUUUUACUGUAAGUUUUUGAGUUUAGAAUAAAAAAAAUGUUUACUGUGUAAAUCCCAUGACUUAAUGUUUCUGGUAAAUCAGUUAUACAUAAAUACUGGCACUUUCCAAUCCAUUCCAGUGCCGCUUGUCAGCAAAACACACUCCUUAGUUACAUAACUCAGUUAACAUUAAGACAAACAUUCACAGAACUGAUUGUGCCAGCAGCCUGCAGUGGCAUGAAUUGAGAAUAUCUGGCAUUCGAGGAAAAGGAGUGCUGCAAGCUACUGUAUGUAAUUUUCAAGAUUUCCACUAGGUGUCACUUCAAGACUGGUAUGAAAAUAUUGCAUAUGACAAGUGACAGUAUUGCAAGUCUUUUUGUUAGAUGAUGAGUUACUAAACCUGUGUUACUAAAAACCUGUUUAGUGUUACUAAACCUUUCCGAUAAUAACAAUAAUCAAACUUUGGGUUGGCUUCAAACUGCAACGUACCGAGGAACUGCUGGAAACCACUUCAACACUUUUAGUACACUUCUGAGACAUUACAAUACCAAUCACAAUGCCAGCAAAUGGCUGUAUUCAGGAUGACCACAUAUAAUGACGCUGGCACAAGAUGAAUGGAUCAGGGUCACACAGUUCUCAAAACUCCCUUGGAAGGCACCUGCAACAGCCAAAACAUGCCAACCUGUGAGGCGAAUAUCUUGCAGUCAGUUAUAACACUAAUGGUGGCCACCACACUAGAUACUGUCAUUUGAAGAGCUUUUACACCCCUUGUUCAUGUUCAUUUAGCUCUGAAACGCACUCAUACAGUACAUACAAUUGUAUUAUUAUCGUUCUAACUAUUAGGUGAACAAUUGCAUGGCUGAGGUAUACUGUAUGUAAUGUUUCAGGCACACUGCCUCCAUUGUGAUUUAGUUAUUUUGUUUCUCAUUAUGUUCUUCAGCAGUGCACCAUUUUGAGCUCCAUUCUAUGCACUUUUUUGGGUUAGUAUAACUUUAAAAGAAUGCCUUUACAUUCUUUGAUCAAGCAUUACAUUUUUGUACACUCAAAAGUAGUUGUCCUAAAUUUUCAAUGAUUCAGUAACACUUACUGACAGUUUUAAGAUCCUCACCCACUGUUCAGGUUUCAGUUUGAAUCGCUUGACUGUCUGAUAAAUUUGAAAAGCUCUUAAAAAUUGAUUGAAGUUUUUUUUUUACCAUUUGACUUCUUCAUAAUUUGUCUUUUUU
rnacentral:lncRNA from 1 species